rnacentral:lncRNA from 1 species
UACAUAGUAAGUUUCAUAUAAAUAAAAUCAUCUCAUAAGUAUUUAUCUUACAUUUGAACAAUACGCACUAACUUUUACAUGUGUCAUAUACAAUUUUAGUGGCUACAUGGCCCCUGAGUAUGCUUCACAGGGUGUCUUCUCUAUCAAAUCCGACGUCUUCAGCUUUGGUGUUAUUAUCUUUGAGAUCCUUAGUGGAAAACGGAAUUCUGGAAACCAACAAUAUGGAGAUUUCAUCAAUCUUCUUGGAUAUGUGAGAUUCUAUACAGAAACUUAAGCAUGCAUUUUUUUAAUUUGUUGUACAAUUUUCAAUUACUUAGGAAUUAGAAGUUAUAACACAACCUCCAAUUUGCAAACAGGCAUGGCAAUUAUGGGAUGAGGGAAGGUGGAUUGAUCUCGUUAGUUCAUCAUCGUUUUCCAAAAGUCACUCGACAAAGAUGAUGAGGUGCAUUAACAUAGCACUAUUGUGCGUACAAGAGAAUGCAGCCGAUCGACCAACUAUGGCUGAUGUUAUAGCUAUGCUAAGCAAUGAGGCUAUGAUCAUCGAUGAGCCUAAGCAGCCGGCAUAUUUCAAUGUGAGGGUAGGAAAUGAAGAGACAUCGACUGCUACAGAGUCAUGUAGUAUUAAUGAUAUGACUAUAUCAGCCACACUUCCUAGAUAAUAUUUUGUUCGUGUUACAUGGUUUAUAUGUCGCAGUCUAUAUUGAUGAUACUACAACUCUUGUACAAUUUAUAAGUUUAAGCCGCCCUUCCUAAUUGGUGUAUAGUCCUUCAUUAUAUUUUUGCAUACUUUUACCUAGAUUAAUUGUUUGUUUAUGAUAUGGGAAAUGAUUCUGACCACUCCGCCGAUCUAGGUGCGGGUGUCCGCCGCCUCUAGCACGUGACGUGUGUCCCAUGUGUGGCUCAUCCAUCCUUAUUCCCAGCAAAAUAGCAUCCACGCGUUUCUCCACCACUGAACCAUCUUCUUCCUUGUGAAUCUCCUUAAGUUCUUUCACAAUGAAGCAAACCUCUAACAUGACGGGUGGAUUUGUUUGUCAGUCUGAGCCUCUCGAUCUCCCCUUACUCCCGUGAUCACUGAUCGGUGUUCUUGUACGUAGUUGUGAGACCAAGCACUAAUUUUGGUUGCCUGGAGCGAUGUGGACGACGGUGGUUUGGCGCCUCGACGGCAGGCGGUGCAAAGGGCGACGGGGUUCAUGAUCGCUACCGCGCUCGGCGCAGCGGCGCUGACACACCACUACUACACCACCAAACGAAGCAAUCCGCUGACAUAGGGUCGCCCGCCGUUCAACACCGACACCGUCCUGUAGGAGCAACGGCGUCCAUGGCUGCCGCCCCAUCGAGCUCAACCACAACCGUCGGUGUUGCCGCAGCAAUAGUUCAUGCAACAUGAUUUCUAUUGCAGAAGCAACAUGACCUUUGUUGCAACACAAUAUGAUUUUUUGCAACAUGAUCUCUAUUGCAAAAUAAUUAUGCACUAUGACCAUGUUGCAAAAAAAACUGCAGACGUUUCUGCACGGUCUCUAUUUCAAUUUUUUUAACAUAAUCUCCGUUGCAAAUGUUUCUGCAACACUACCUAUGCCACAAAUGUUUCUGUAGCAUUAGCUCUAUUGCAAUGGUGAUCGACGUUGUUCAGCCGCUUGAUAACACUAGAUCUAGUGGCUCGCAACCCGGCCGAUUUUUUAAAAAGAUCAGCCGGCAGACGCAUAGUUAUGCAUGGUGUCCCAAAGGCAUGGUUUUGUUUCUCUUUAGCUGAUGUAGACAUGAUUUGGACCAUAUAGGAAGAGUAUGCAGAUAACGAACACUUGUAUCUUCUUUUCCAGAAGAUGGUGACCAAUUGAUAGAAACUUUGGCUGAUCUGGUAGAUAUUCUGUUUUUUUUCUUCUUUUCUUUAGUUAGAGAUUUAAGAGAAGAAAAAAACGAUUCUUCCACGGCAGCCACGACUUGACUUUUGAAAGUUCUGUUGGAUUAAUUUCCAUGGAAAUUUUCAUUCUUGAGAGUACUAAAGAAGGUGACAUCGAGAAUUGACAUUUGGACUAAUUCAUUGUUCUAUUCGGUCCUGAUUUUUCGUGUGGACACCCCUGAAUUCCACCUAAUCUUGUAAACCCAGUCCGUAAAAAGAAUUUGUACGAUGAAGCAUUACACCGUGAAGAAUUAUUUCAUCCAAGAAACAGGUUUUUUAGGGAAGUCCAAGAAACAUGUGACGCGGAUGAUUGAACGUUUCUAAUCUACGGGUUGUCGGACUGAUACUGAAAGCAACGCAAUGUUAUUUAAAGAAAAUUUGGGUUAGUAUGGGUCGGUUUGAGGGGGGAAAGCUAUAAUUCCUGAAAUAAUAAGCUUUGGGGGAAAGGCUAAUUGAGUUUAAUUUCGUAAACGGUUUUCUUAUGCAAAAAUGCGAAAUGUAGGACGAGCUCCAUGAUCACGUGCUAGGUGUCCUUUUCCCAUUAAUCUCCCUUUGAUGUUCACGUCCUUCCCACUGUUUCACAAUGUACAUAUUUUUUAAAAAUUAAUUUAAAUUGCUUACCACAUAUGGCACGUGGUCAUAAUGUACAUAUCUAAACAUGGCACAUAAAUGAAAAACCGACAUUGCCAAUGUAAUUAAAAAUAUAUCAUUUUGAUGACACCAGAAAGAAACAAUGAUAAGCAUGUGGAUAUUUACAAAACACCGGAAAAGUUUAGUCGCUGAUUUUUUUUGAGGAAAAGAAGUUUAGUUGCUAAAUAAAUAAACAAUAUUAAUGAAGUAAACAGGUGGCACCGAUGAUUUACGGCUUCAAAUCUAUGGACUGUUGGUCUGAUCGCUGAAAGCAACAAGCAAGCAAGGCAGUUAGGACAAGGAGAAAUCGAGCGGCCGGCCGUGCCGCGGUUAGGUAGCUAGCAUGCUGGGCGUCCUGCUGCUCCUCCUCCUGCUCAUGCCGCUGCCGGCGACUGCAACGGCACAGCUCUGUGGCAGCGGCGGCAGCUACGUAGCCAACGGCACCUACGAGUCCAACCUCGCCGCCCUCGCCUCCACCCUCCCCGCCAACGCCUCAUCCUCCCCGCAGCUCUUCGCUGCCGCCACUGCCGGCCAAUCCCCAGACGCAGUGCACGCGCUCGCGCUCUGCCGGGGCGACUUCGCCAACGACACCGCAUGCAGGGACUGCGUCGCCGCCUCCUUCCAGCACGCGCAGUGGACAUGCCCCAGCGACAAGGCCGCCACCGUCUACUACGAGUACGACAACGACCAGAGACCAGGCUGCGUGCUCGGCUUCUCCGGCGACGAUGGCUUCCUCAACCCAGCGGCCAAUCUCACCGGGAACGGCACUCUCUUCCAGGCGUGGAACACGGGGAACAUCUCCGGCGUCGCCAGUGUCAUCGCCGCCGGCGUCCACGAGCUGCUGACCGCCACGUCCGAGGACGCAGCCGCCAACGUGACGAGGCGGUACGCCACCGUGGUCAUGGAUUCUGCCCCGACGCUCUACUCUCUAGCGCAGUGCACGCCGGACCUGUCCGCCGGCGACUGCCAGGCGUGCCUCCAGCGGCUCAUCGGCAUGGUCAACGCCACCACGUCUGUGCGCCUGGGAGGACGGAUCUUCGUGCUGCGUUGCAACGUCAGGUUCGAGACUUUCAUGUUCUUCGAUCAUCCCAUGCGGCGGAUCAGUCCAUCGUCCAACGCUCCGGCUCCUCCCACAGGCAAGAGUACACUUUGGUUUCUGUCUCCAUCCAUACGUCGUUGCACAAACACAAUUGAAAGGUUACAAAUUCAUUUGCUGGUGGUGGUUCCAAUCUUGAUUUAGUUGGCAUGCUAUCAGUAAUUAGCUACUCCCUCCAUUUUCUAAGUAUAAGUCUUUUAAGAAAUUUUACUAAAGACUACAUAUGGAUGGAUGGAUGUAGACGUAUUUUAGAGUGUAGAUUCAUUUAUUUUGCUUUGACAAUAGAUUCAUUCAUUUAUUUUGCUCCGUACGAUAAUUUGUGGAUGUCGAAUUUUAAAGGUCAUGGAACGCAGCCUUGGGUAAUUGCUAUAUCUGUAGCUGCUCCACUAGCACUGGUUGCUUUCUGCGUCACUGUCUACUGUCGUCGCCUCAGAGGAAGAAAGAACAAAAAUGGUGGGUAAAUUAGUUUCUGAAAUGCUACUACGUACUAUGUAGUAGUACUCCGCUAAAUAUAAAGAGAUUUUUGAUUGCUUGGAGGUUGCUCACCACAUACUCCAUGCAUGUGGUAAAUAUAAAGAGAUUUGAUUAAGGGGGGCGCAUAUUGGGUCAAUUCCCAAUUUUUCAGGUGCAAAGAUACUACGAGAAAAACGUAGUUACAAGUUGCAAGAAGGAGAUCAAGAACUAGUAUGGGAUAUGGAAGCAGGAUUAUCCGGCUUCACAGUUUAUGAUUUUCACGAGAUAUUGGAAGCUACAAGUAACUUUUCCGAAGAAAAUAAACUUGGAGAAGGAGGAUUUGGCCCUGUAUAUAAGGUACAUACAUGAUAUAUCAUACUUUAUAUAAUCCUCACGCAUUCUCUAAUCAAGAGAAACAAGAAUAUGCUGUAUGUAUUUGAUUUUUUCAUACAAUUAUUUGAAACUGUGGAGGAAUAUUAAUUGAAAUUGUGAUUAAUUUCCUUGUACUCAUUACUUGGUAGUUUUGAAUUAAAUUGUGCACCAUAAUGUAACACGAUUGAGGCAUAAUAUCAUCUUUGUUUCCCUAGGGUCAUUUUCUUCAAGGAUUGGAGAUAGCAGUCAAGAGACUUGCUUCACAUUCAGGACAAGGUGUCUUAGAGUUCAAAAAUGAAGUUCAGCUCAUAGCCAAACUUCAACAUAGAAAUUUGGUUAGACUCUUGGGAUGUUGCUCCCAAGGAGAGGAAAAAAUAUUGGUCUAUGAAUACUUGCCAAACAAAAGUUUGGACUUCUACAUAUUUGGUACAUAUUUGCAUUCCCAUAUUUAUAUAUAUUGUUUAACAAUGAUGCUUGAAACAUGAUAGAAAAUAUGUUACUAUAUAUUCUUUAGAAAUCCUAUGUGCGUAAUUGCACUCUCUUGAAAUUUGAGUGUGCAAAUUUUAUCAUUUACAUGUUUUUCUCUCCAUGUAUUAACAUUUAGAUCAUGUGCAGAUGAAUGUAGAAAAGCUUUAUUGGAUUGGAACAAACGUCUUGCAAUAAUUGAAGGAAUAGCAGAAGGACUUCUUUACCUACAUAAGCACUCUCGUUUGCGUGUGAUACAUCGAGAUCUUAAACCAAGCAACAUUCUCUUGGACGAUGAAAUGAAUCCUAAAAUUUCAGAUUUUGGCCUAGCAAAAAUAUUUAGCUCAAAUAACACGGAAGAAGACACCACAAGAAGAGUGGUUGGUACUUAGUAAGUUCUAUAUCAAUUAGAUCGCGUACAAAUAUUUACAUAUACUAGUCAGCCAUAUAGUAACUUGACGUAUAUAUUGCAUCAUUUUAGUGGUUACAUGGCUCCGGAGUAUGCCUCCGAGGGCCUAUUCUCCAUCAAAUCCGAUGUAUUCAGCUUUGGUGUCUUAAUUCUUGAGAUCCUUAGUGGGAAAAGGAAUUCUGGUAGCCAUCAAUGUGGAGGUUUCAUCAACCUCCUCGGAUAUGUGAGUUCAUAAACACCCAUAUAACAUGAAGUUAAAUGCUUUAUUAACCUAUAGUAUUGUACCUAACUAUAUGGUGAAAUUGCAUAUAGUCUUGGCAGUUAUGGGAUGAGGGAAACUGGAUUGAUAUUGUUGAUGCGUCAUUGACUCCCAAGUCUCCCCAGCAGAAAUGAUGAGGUGCAUCAACGUCGGACUACUAUGUGUGCAAGAGAAUGCGGCUGAUCGACCGAACAUGUUGGAUGUUACUGCAAUGCUAAGCAGCAAGACAAUGCUCCUGCGGGGGCCAAAGCACCCGGCAUAUUUCAACCUAAGGGUAGGCGAUGAAGAGGAUUCCUUUGCUACCCACUCCUACAGUGUUAAUGAUAUAACCAUAUCUGUAGCAACUCCUAGAUAGUUUUUCUGUGUCAUGUGUUUUUUCACUGAGCCAAUGCAGAAUCAGUGGUAUAGUACACGUUGUACACCACAUAAUUUUGAGGGUUAUGUAAGCACAAUUGCUUCUCUAAAUCAUAUAGGAUUGAAGUGCAUUUGCAGUGUGGAAGUAGUCAAUCAAAACCAUAAUUGUGUUUGUUAUAAGCUUUCGUAGAAAUAUAGUGCGAAUGGAUCAAAAUAUUAAUUCUAAAAACUAUUAUCAACCUCCUCAGAUAUGUGCGAAUGGAUCAAAAUAUUAAUUCUAAAAACUAUUAUCAACCUCCUCCGAUAUGUGAAUCAAGACCCAAAAGUUUUGGCUUUAUUACAAACAAGGCCAAAAUUUGGACAAGUCGGGGCUAGAAAUUUCGACAGCAUAACGCGUCGUAAAGAAUCCAAAUCAACAAGAAUGGUGCAGCGUUCAUUCCAAAAUUAAUUCAUGCAAUCCAAGUGCAAGUCAGUCAAUACACUGGAUGAAACAGUCCAUAUCAUCAUCCUAUCAAAUCAUUUCCCCGACACCACCACCACGAAGCCUAGGGCUAAAACUAAACGGUUAUAAAUAACGCUAAUGAACACUACCUUGAAAAAAAUACCUCAAAAAAAGGCCAAAUACCACACAUCUUGAGUUUCUAUUUUUUUUUUCUUAUUAACAAAUAAAAAUUGACUUCAAUUUUUUUUUUGAGGGAACUACGGCGGGUUGAACUCAUUUUAUUGAUUUUUGUUUAACAGAGUAUUUACAAAGAAGGCGAAAGAGAGAAAGAGAAAUUGACUUCAAUUUAACACCACCACCCCAUUGAUUCGGCUCAUACAAAGGAACUAUGGGCGAUUAGUUGAUACGAGAAACAAGAGAGGUUACCUAAAUCACCCAUCAACCAGUCACGGAGAUGGAGCAGAACAGGAUGACAAAAUAGGAGGGCUGCUCCGAUGAUGCGAGAUGUACCAAGAUACAAAGCGAGAUGAUCUGGAAAGUCCGAGCUCCGGGCGUCCGGUCUGUCGAGCAGGGAAACGCGUGG